ensembl:lncRNA
GGUGAAGCUAAGCAGAACAUAUAAGCACAGGGUAAUUUAGAAAGUUUCAACAUGGUAAUUCUUAUUUUCUGCCUCAACUUCACACUUUAACUUUCUCUUCCACAUUGGUGCUGGACAUCCUAUCUCAGAAUAGGGUAGGAAAGCCAGCUUAUCUCUAUACGGGGUCUACACAAAUUAUGGGGCCAAAGAGGCUGGAGGAACCAGAUUAGGAAAGAACCUUUCUGACCCCUGACUCGAGCUUCUGCAACUCUCCAGAUGGAUGCACUUCACUACAGUUGGGAGGAGGAACAGAAAGGGCCGCGCUCCCCGACCCUUUCUCCCAGGUAGUCUCCACCCCCAAGUGGACGCCCGGCUCCAGCUCUUACCUUGGCGGCACCCGGCAACGACAGCGGCGGCAGCAGCUCUUCCCCUCCCCAGCGGCACCAUGAUUGCCCCCCCCACCUUCCCCCCCUUUCCUUCAACGUCACUUCCGCUUCCACUUUCCGGAGGAAGACGAGAUAGAGGGAGCAGCCACUGGGUAUCUUGCCCGCGGCGCGGGCAGACUCAACCAACCACUCUCUCGAGAGCUCGAGCUCGGGGCGGGGGAGGGAGGAGGGGUGUGAGUGAGGAGCGUCCAAUCAACGCGGAGAGGUGUGGGGUUAAGCGGCCCGACUCGCCCGGCUCGGCUGCUGGCUGAGGCUCGGUCACGGUUUCAGUCUCGAUCUCUGGCUCACGCUCACGCUCACGGUCUGGGUCUGGGUCUGGGUCUGGGUCUCGGUCUCGGUCUCGGUCUCGGUCUCGGUCUCGGUCUCUCUCCUGCACCUUCUCCUGAUCUGUCCCUUGCCAGGAGAGAGCCCUUACUAAGGCCGGGACGCCACCGUCCCCCCUCGGCGGGCGGGCGCGCGCUCUUCUCCCAGCGUUGCAGCUGAAAGGACCGCGGUUAUGCACCCGAAAGAACGGCCGGGGCUCUCCACGAGGAGGGCACUGGGAGGGGCCUCGAGGAAGAGCCAGCUGGGGCAGGGGAUCCUGGAGCUCCUGCCCUUGGCCCCAGCUGCCCCCCCCCGGGGGGGACUGACCUGACACCCCUGGAGGAGCUGGACACUUCUUAACGUCUGCUAACCGCCGUUCCCCGGCCUCCCCCGCCCCCACUCCAGUGCCGUGGGGGUCGUGGUAGCCCCAGACUGCUGAGCUGGGCAUCCAUCCCUGGCGGAAAGCCGGGCCAGAUUAUUAAACAAAUGGUUUGUGAGCGCUUAGGAAAGUGGCAAUCACUGAGAGCCAGCGUGUGUUCACUACAAACAAGCCCUGCCAGGGUUUUGCCAACUUAUUAUUUGUUUUUGGACCAGACUUGUGAUUUUAUUAUUAGCAGGGGGAGCUGUAGAUGAGGAAAUUCCCCCUACCAGUUUGCAAACCUUAAAGAGCUAUAGAUUUGUGAGCUAAUCGGGAGGCAUCAUGAUGGUAGUGUGGUGGAUUUCGGGGGGGGGGGGGGGGAUGAACCUGGCUUCCAUCCUGCCUCAGCCUUCAUUGACUAGGCAAACCUUUUACUUGUUUCAAACCUCAGUGUUCUUAAGAAUGGGGAUGAUAGAGCCCACCUCCCCGGGUUGUGGGGAUUGCAUGGGGUAGGUGGAGCAUUUGGCAGACCUUAAAGUUAUAUAAAUGUGAGCUGUUAAUUUGACAAGAUUACUAGGCUGGUCAAUAAGGCAAAUUCUUGAGAUAUUUUCAGAUGCCUCACUGAAAUUUCGAUGUUCACAGUCUCUUAAGUCAUCUUUGUGCACAAGAUGGAGAAAUGGAGGCUGGAGGAUAGCACAGAUUCAACCAGCUACACAUCCAUGUAGACUUAAAAAAUAUCCAUAAAUGGCUAAAAGCUAAUCUGUGUGGAGAUUUCUGGGGAGCGGUGCAGUGCGCUAUCUUCGCACCCUAUCUGUUCCACAUCUUUUUUUUUAAACCAGCAAUGUUAGAUUCAUUAGUAGGAGCUUUGCAAUUUCCCAGAAUUCUCACCAAAACAAGAGCCUAUAUUUUUAAUAGCUGUGUUCUGAUGUUUUAUGGCUUUGAGUCAUGAACCACUAAUCUCCAAAAAAUUGAAAUAAUGUAUCAUUCAGAGGGAAGUGAAGAGACCCAUAGUGGGUAUAAGUAGGCUGUAACACAUAAGGUCUUAUGAAAAACUAGAAUAAAAGAUGUAAUCAAAGAAAUAUAUGAAAGAAA